rnacentral:rRNA from 1 species
GGCGACGGGUGAGUACACGUGGGCAAUCUGCCCUUCACUCUGGGACAAGCCCUGGAAACGGGGUCUAAUACCGGAUAACACUCUCCAAAGCAUUUUGGGGGGUUAAAAGCUCCGGCGGUGAAGGAUGAGCCCGCGGCCUAUCAGCUUGUUGGUGGGGUAAUGGCCUACCAAGGCGACGACGGGUAGCCGGCCUGAGAGGGCGACCGGCCACACUGGGACUGAGACACGGCCCAGACUCCUACGGGAGGCAGCAGUGGGGAAUAUUGCACAAUGGGCGAAAGCCUGAUGCAGCGACGCCGCGUGAGGGAUGACGGCCUUCGGGUUGUAAACCUCUUUCAGCAGGGAAGAAGCGAAAGUGACGGUACCUGCAGAAGAAGCGCCGGCUAACUACGUGCCAGCAGCCGGGAGUAAUACG